rnacentral:rRNA from 1 species
UACGUAGGGGGCAAGCGUUGUCCGGAAUCAUUGGGCGUAAAGAGCGUGUAGGCGGCCCGAUAAGUCCGCUGUGAAAGUCCAGGGCUCAACCCUGGAAUGCCGGUGGAUACUGUCGGGCUCGAAUCCGGAAGAGGCGAGUGGAAUUCCUGGUGUAGCGGUGGAAUGCGCAGAUAUCAGGAGGAACACCAAUAGCGAAGGCAGCUCUCUGGGACGGUACCGACGCUGAGACACGAAAGCGUGGGGAGCGAACAGG